rnacentral:rRNA from 1 species
UACGUAGGGGGCAAGAGCUGUCCGGAUUCACUGGGUGAAAAGGGCGCGCAGGCGGGUUAGCAAGUCAGAGGUGAAAUCCUACAGCUUAACUGUAGAACUGCCUUUGAAACUGUUAAUCUUGAGUGCGGAAGAGAGAGACGGAAUUCCAGGUGUAGCGGUGAAAUGCGUAGAUAUCUGGAAGAACACCAGUUGCGAAGGCGGUCUCUUGGUCCGUUACUGACGCUCAGGCGCGAAAGCGUGGGGAGCAAACAGG